rnacentral:rRNA from 1 species
UGAGGAAUAUUGGUCAAUGGGCGCAAGCCUGAACCAGCCAUGCCGCGUGCAGGAAGACGGUCCUAUGGAUUGUAAACUGCUUUUAUUUGGGAAUAAACCUCUUUACGUGUAGAGAGCUGAAGGUACCAAAUGAAUAAGCACCGGCUAACUACGUGCCAGCAGCCGCGGUAAUACGUAGGGUGCAAGCGCUAAUCGGAAUUACUGGGCGUAAAGCGUGCGCAGGCGGUCUUAUAAGUCAGUGGUGAAAGCCUACAGCUCAACUGUAGAACUGCCAUUGAUACUGUAAGACUUGAAUUCGAUCGAAGUGGGCGGAAUAUGACAUGUAGCGGUGAAAUGCUUAGAUAUGUCAUAGAACACCGAUAGCGAAGGCAGCUCACUAGGUCUGGAUUGACGCUCAGAGACGAAAGAGUGGGGAGCAAACA